UGGACGACUGCUGCUCAUCCUCCUUCUCCCGGAAGUGCUCCUGCACGCACUGCUCCUCGAACUCAUGCAGCCUCUUUAGCUCCUCGUCGCUAAGGAAGAGCUCUGUGUGAAGGGAGAAGUGUCGGCCACGUGAAAAACAAGAAGAAUCAGUUUCGUGGCGUCAAUGAGAAUUUCACAGCCCCACUUUAAUUAAGCUCUCUUCUCCGCCACUCCUAAGGCAGUCGCCACUACUCCAAUUGAUUUUUAUCUAAAAAGGGGUUGUCAUACGCCCCAACCCUCUAUCAGUUGGAGCCAAACGGCCCGCUUUUAAACAUAAAAAACAAAAUUACAUUUACUGGGAAAGUAAAGCCAACGGCCGCUGAGACGCAUAAUGAUGAUGUAGAUGUGGCUUAAAAUGAUCAUCGGUGGGGGCAGGACUGGCCUGUCAUGAAAUGUCAUAAUCAGCUGAUAUCGCUGGAACUUCCAUACCUGGUUGGAUAUUGAUUUUACUUCAAAGAAGAUCAUCCAGUAGGGCAUGUAGAAGAUGUUUCGGGCCAGUUUCCAAGAAGGCUUCUCCUCUGGAUGCAGAAUGGCUUGACGGGCUACUCCGAAACUCAUGAGCACGACCAGCAUGAUGACCACAAAGUACAGCAUGUCGAUCAUCUGGCCAAAGUCUCUCUGGAUACCCACAGGAUGCCACUACUAACCAUCUUUCCAAUCAUCAUCACGUAUGGCCCCAGAUACUUGUUGACACCAAAGAUGUCCAGGACACGGAUGUACCAGAAGAUGAUAUCCACACAGUAGAUCACCCGGCCAUAGCCCAUGUAGGGCUGGUUCUGUAGGCGAAGAAUUGCUCCAAUCAUGAAUGUGGAAAUGGCCACGAGAUCUGUGAUGUUCCAGUACUCCUGAAGCCAAACUUUGAUUUUCUGGCUGAGUUUGCCUGGUUCUGACAUGAGGAUCUGAAAACAAACCCCAAAGAACAAUAAACUGAGAUGCCGUAUUAGAA